ensembl:lncRNA
CCAAACUACAGCCAGUGCAAUGCAGCCUCCCCAGGGAAGAAGAGCCUUGGGCAUUUUCAACUGGAGAUUGUCAGCUCUGAGGUGACACAAUAUGCCAGCAGCUCUGCAAUGCUCAGGCCAUAAGUGGCCAACAAGAAGCGGAAUCCAUUGCUUCAUUCAAUGAGAGGAUUCUGUCUGGCACUUUUGGAACUGGAACCAUACUUCAGGACAGAGCUGUCUGCACUGCAAUUCAAACCAAGGACUCCAACUGGAGAGCACGAGGAUACCCUUCAUCUCCCCUUCAGAUCUCCAGCCAACAGCAGGUAUGAUCAUUGGAUUGAGCACCUGGAGGUACUUACAGGAAAAUGCUCAGGUGUUUCUAACUCUCUCUUUGUUUAGGAUGAGUUGGUGGCUAAUGUUCCAUGGCUCCAUUUCUAGCAUGUAGUCCCUUUCCAUGGGAUGAGGAUGUCAAAACUUCCUCCACACCCUCUGCAAGAAUGAGAUGUUUGUAGAAGCUUUCGCAAUGUUUUGGCUGUAGUCAAGGGCCACAGCUCCUCCAGAGUCUGAGAUUUAGGCAGACCUCAAAGGUUGGUGAGAAAUGAUAACCAGGAGUGCUUUGAGAUGGAGAAUUUUAUCAAGAAGACAGAGCCAGGAUCUUCACAGUGGUGCAUGACAGGAGGACAAGAGACAAUGGACAAGAGACAGUGGACAAGAGACAGUGGACAGGCUGAGGAGGAGCUGGGCAUGGCUUCAAGGGAAGCAACUGGCCUGACAGACCCCGUGCCAUGUGGGAACAUGCGGAAGAAGCGGUGAGUGAUUGUUGUAGGUGACUCCCUGCUGCAGGAUAUUUUUGCAGAGAAAAAAGGAGAGGAGGAGAGGUGUGCUGCUGGACCUCGUACUAACAAAUCAAGAAGGUCUGGUUGGAGAUGUGAAGGCUGGGGGCAGCCUUGGCUGCAGUGACCACGAGGUGGUGGAGUUCAGGAUCC